GGCUGUUUGGUUUGCUCAGCGACAAGCAAAAUUUCAGUAGUGUUACGUCCUGCUAAUAGUAGUGAAUGGAAUUACUGUUAUUUUCGGUGCACUAGUCGCGUGAACAACAAACUACAGCGAACAACUCACGUGGAAAAACAACAACUUAACUCUAUUCAAAUUUUACUGUUUAUCUGUUUGACAAUUUUUAUUUACUUCGAAUAUGUGGACUUUUUGUUGUUGCAGUUCAAUUUGUUCGGUGCUUCUUUUUUCUUACCGACGUGAAUUGUUUGAUUUUAGUCGUGAUGAAAAUUUUUCAUGCCACUUGAAAUGCCACGGGAUGCAAUUUUCUAAGUGAUUUGGAAGUGAUUGGUUUAGCUGCUUGGCGUUGUGUCGAUUGCUUCGGCCCUUACAAGUUGGAUACGCGUCGGUUUUUUUUUGUUUAGCGAAUUGUGAUUGACGCCUAAGGCGGCAGUGAGAGUGCUUGCAUGGAUCGCCUUGGAGUUAGGCUUGCGGAUUGUCAGAGCAAGAAGAAUUCGCUUAGUGAAAACUUGUUAUCGAAGUUAUUUUGUGGUGUUUGGUAAAAAUUGUCGAAAGUAAUGGCUGAAGUGUGAUUUAUUAAAGCAAUGACUGGCUAAAGUUAUUUGCUUAACCCAAAGAGAACAUCGCUUUUCGGAAACCUUAACGAUAUUUCUUUUCCAAAAAAAAAUAGGCAGCAUUGUAUAUUAUGAAAUCGUCAAAAACUUCGUGUUUUGUGUUUAAAAGUGUAGUACCAAUUGUAUGAAAAUUCCAUACGGUCUAGAGCAGAGUUUUCCUUUCGUUAGGCAUCAAAAAGUAAUAUCUACUUUUUAAAAGUGAGGAAAAAAAAAUUUUAAUUUAAAUAUUUGAAGACAAAAUAAGUUUGUCCCAGCGCCAUUUUUCGGCAUUUUCUUACGACUUUUCUCCAUUUUUGACACACCCGUUACCAAAUACAUUUCUAUUCUGGCCAAUCUGUGGCAUCGCCUACGUUCGCCACGGCCCAAUCGGGCUGGUGGCGGCUACUUUCUUACCGGCACCUCACAAUGGAAUGCCGUCGAAACGACGGGCGGUAUACACUCGGCCACCGAAGAGUAUGUGAUCAAGAGUGGACGUGGUCGUAGUUCGUUGGAAGCGAUCGCACGCGCAGCCGUUGCACCAUUAACGGCUAGCUCCAGUGCGGCAGCGGCAGGCGGUGGCAGUAAUACGAGUUCAACGACAACAACAACAACUGCAACUAGAAUGAUUGCGCCACGUUAUCGUUUUCGUGAUCUACUACUUGGCGAUUUCUCAUUCAAUGACGACGG